rnacentral:rRNA from 1 species
UACGUAGGGCGCAAGCGUUGUUCGGAAUUACUGGGCGUAAAGCGCGCGUAGGCGGCUUUUCAAGUCAGGGGUGAAAUCCCACGGCUCAACCGUGGAAUUGCCUUUGAAACUGUAAAGCUAGAGUGUCGGAGGGGAUAGCGGAAUUGCUAAUGUAGAGGUGAAAUUCGUAGAUAUUAGCAGGAACACCGGUGGCGAAGGCGGCUAUCUGGACGACAACUGACGCUGAGGCGCGAAAGCGUGUGGAUCAAACAGG